rnacentral:rRNA from 1 species
AUUGAACGCUGGCGGCAGGCCUAACACAUGCAAGUCGAGCGGAUGAAGGGAGCUUGCUCCUGGAUUCAGCGGCGGACGGGUGAGUAAUGCCUAGGAAUCUGCCUGGUAGUGGGGGAUAACGUCCGGAAACGGGCGCUAAUACCGCAUACGUCCCGAGGGAGAAAGUGGGGGAUCUUCGGACCUCACGCUAUCAGAUGAGCCUAGGUCGGAUUAGCUAGUUGGUGGGGUAAAGGCCUACCAAGGCGACGAUCCGUAACUGGUCUGAGAGGAUGAUCAGUCACACUGGAACUGAGACACGGUCCAGACUCCUACGGGAGGCAGCAGUGGGGAAUAUUGGACAAUGGGCGAAAGCCUGAUCCAGCCAUGCCGCGUGUGUGAGGAAGGUCUUCGGAUUGUAAAGCACUUUAAGUUGGGAGGAAGGGCAGUAAGUUAAUACCUUGCUGUUUUGACGUUACCAACAGAAUAAGCACCGGCUAACUUCGUG